rnacentral:rRNA from 1 species
AGUAGCUUGCUACUUNUGCUGACGAGUGGCGGACGGGUGAGUAAUGUCUGGGGAUCUGCCUGAUGGAGGGGGAUAACUACUGGAAACGGUAGCUAAUACCGCAUAAUGUCGCAAGACCAAAGCGGGGGACUUUCGGGCCUCGCACCAUCAGAUGAACCCAGAUGGGAUUAGCUAGUAGGUAGGGUAAUGGCUUACCUAGGCGACGAUCCCUAGCUGGUCUGAGAGGAUGACCAGCCACACUGGAACUGAGACACGGUCCAGACUCCUACGGGAGGCAGCAGUGGGGAAUAUUGCACAAUGGGCGCAAGCCUGAUGCAGCCAUGCCGCGUGUAUGAAGAAGGCCUUCGGGUUGUAAAGUACUUUCAGUCAGGAGGAAGGGUGUGAAAUUAAUACUUUCAUGCAUUGACGUUACUGACAGAAGAAGCACCGGCUAACUCCGUGCCAGCAGCCGCGGUAAUACGGAGGGUGCAAGCGUUAAUCGGAAUUACUGGGCGUAAAGCGCACGCAGGCGGUUUGUUAAGUCAGAUGUGAAAUCCCCGGGCUCAACCUGGGAACUGCAUUUGAAACUGGCAAGCUUGAGUCUUGUAGAGGGGGGUAGAAUUCCAGGUGUAGCGGUGAAAUGCGUAGAGAUCUGGAGGAAUACCGGUGGCGAAGGCGGCCCCCUGGACAAAGACUGACGCUCAGGUGCGAAAGCGUGGGGAGCAAACAGGAUU